rnacentral:rRNA from 1 species
CGGAGUGGACGAACCUCUGGUGUUCGGGUUGUCAUGCCAAUGGCAUUGCCCGGUAGCUAAGUUCGGAAUCGAUAACCGCUGAAAGCAUCUAAGCGGGAAGCGAGCCUUGAGAUGAGUUUUCCCUGGCGCUAUAAGCGUCCUAAAGGGUUGUCGUAGACUACGACGUUGAUAGGCAGGGUGUGUAAGUGCUGCGAGGCAUUGAGCUAACCUGUACUAAUUGCCCGUGAGGCUUAACCAUACAACACCCAAGGGGUUU